CCUACGGGGGGCUGCAGUGGGGAAUCUUGCACAAUGGGCGCAAGCCUGAUGCAGCCAUGCCGCGUGUGUGAAGAAGGCCUUCGGGUUGUAAAGCACUUUCAGCGGGGAGGAAGGCGGUGAGGUUAAUAACCUCAUCGAUUGACGUUACCCGCAGAAGAAGCACCGGCUAACUCCGUGCCAGCAGCCGCGGUAAUACGGAGGGUGCAAGCGUUAAUCGGAAUUACUGGGCGUAAAGCGCACGCAGGCGGUCUGUCAAGUCGGAUGUGAAAUCCCCGGGCUCAACCUGGGAACUGCAUUCGAAACUGGCAGGCUAGAGUCUUGUAGAGGGGGGUAGAAUUCCAGGUGUAGCGGUGAAAUGCGUAGAGAUCUGGAGGAAUACCGGUGGCGAAGGCGGCCCCCUGGACAAAGACUGACGCUCAGGUGCGAAAGCGUGGGGAGCAAACAGGAUUAGAUACCCGAGUAGUC
rnacentral:rRNA from 1 species